UCUUCUUAUUAAAUCCUAACCAACCACUAUUGUAUUAUUCUCUUGCUGCUGCUGCUGGCUGGCUGUACUUAAUAAUAAAGAGUUGGUUGGUGGUGUUGGUUGCUUCACUACUUGAUUAUUUGGUGGUAGAGUGAUUCAGUUUGAUUUUUGUGGCUGUGUGUCUGACGAAGGAAGCCACCUCUGUUUGCACUCUCACAGUUACACAGUCUCCUCUCGGCCCCAUAAGAAUAUUAUAUUCAACUCCAACCAACUCUACUGCUGCUCAUGAUGAUGAUAACACACAAUAGCAAACCUACCAACUAACUCGGCUCGGUGUACUCCUCCGCUCGUGAACCAAUCUCACAUUUACCAAAUCCACUCUGCGAUGCUCGAUGCUCUUUGAAAAUAUCGUGCCAGGAGGGAUAGAGGUUGCGCAUCAAGUUUGUGGCUACGACACAUAAAUAUAAUCGAGCCCUUUUACUUACCUGCUGAAGAAGAUCUUGGUAAACCUCAAUGUUGCACACCCACCGCGGACCAGGACGAAAUGGGCAGGGUAGUGAUAUGUUUAUGUGUUGAAAUUGGCGUUUGAACUUGGCUAGAGAUUUCACAUUGCCCAGAUUGACUUAACUUACCCCAAACCUGGGUUGAAUUAUUUUAUUAUUUGAUACCAGUAUUUUUAUUUUGGCGUUUAAAUUAUUCAAUUUCGUAUGAUUUUUACGCCAAAAUUAUUAAACGGAGUUUAACAAUAUCGU